rnacentral:lncRNA from 1 species
GAGGGCCAGGGCGAUGGAGGGGUAUGGCGCCAGGAAGGGUAGGGCGCCGGGAGUAAUGGCGUUGGGGCCGGCCAGGAGGAAUGGCGCCAGGGGGAGGUGACGUCGGGUGCCAGGAAGAAGAAAGAGGAGGAGAGGGAAGAGGGAAGGAGGAAGAAGAAAGAAGAAGAAGAAAGGAAGAAGGGAAAAGAAAAAGAAAAGGGGAGGGGAAAAAGAGAAAGAAAAAGAGAGGGACCGGCGGCGUUCGCGGCAUGCGGUCGGAGCACGCGCGCGGCGUCUGACGAUGGCACGCGGCGGAAAUUACGAGCACUGGUAAAAAUGAUGGCUGUCGGCUUGGGUGCCGGGACGACGAAAUCGCCGGGAAGGUUUUAGAUUUCCGGGAGCUCAGCGGUAAAAAGAUUUUAAAAGCGAUUUUUAACGGGUGAUUUUAGUUGGUGAUUUCUG